GUAAAGUCCGUAUACUAAGUGAUUUGUUUUCACAAUGGCGUCCCUGUUUCGGAACCAGCCUGGCAAAUUCAAAAGUGGGUAAUGCUGACUCUGAGAGAACAUUUUCCAUGCUGAAGAAGAUCCAGACAGAAGGGAGAUCUGAAUUAGGAAAUGAUACAAUAUGUGCUUUGUUAUGUGCAAAACUAAAUCAACAUGGUUCAUGCUUUCAGUAUGCACCUAGGAAAAGAAAAACAUGUAUAUUGAUUAAGAAUAUGUAAUAAAACAAUGAAGGUGUGA
rnacentral:lncRNA from 1 species